rnacentral:rRNA from 1 species
GACGAACGCUGGCGGCGUGCCUAAUACAUGCAAGUCGAACGGUCUUUUCUAUGGAAGCUUGUUUCCACUGAGAAGAUAGUGGCGAACGGGUGAGUAACACGUGGGUAACCUGCCCAUAAGAGGGGGAUAACAUCCGGAAACGGGUGCUAAUACCGCAUAGUUUUCUUGAUUGCAUGAUCGAGAAAGGAAAGACGGCCUUUGUGCUGUCGCUUAUGGAUGGACCCGCGGCGUAUUAGUUAGUUGGUGAGGUAACGGCUCACCAAGACGAUGAUACGUAGCCGACCUGAGAGGGUGAUCGGCCACAUUGGGACUGAGACACGGCCCAAACUCCUACGGGAGGCAGCAGUAGGGAAUCUUCCGCAAUGGACGAAAGUCUGACGGAGCAACGCCGCGUGAGUGAAGAAGGUUUUCGGAUCGUAAAACUCUGUUGUCAGAGAAGAACAAGUUGGAGAGUAACUGCUCCAGCCUUGACGGUAUCUGACCAGAAAGCCACGGCUAACUACGUGCCAGCAGCCGCAGUAACAC